rnacentral:tRNA from 1 species
CGGGACGUGGCUCAGUCAGGUAGAGCAUCCCGACAGGUGUGUCGGGAGGGACGCUGGUUUCCCGAUCGAAUCGGGAUCGUCCCGA